rnacentral:tRNA from 1 species
GCCCAGUUAGCUUGGUUAGUAGCGCGUCUUGUAAGCGCAAGGCCGCGGGUUCGAUUCCCGCCCGGGGCA